UGUGUCCAAAGGAGGACCACGAAGAUGAUCAAAGGGUUGGAGCAGCUAUGAAGAAAGGUCAAGGGAGUUGGGCUUACUCACCUUAAAGAAGGGAGGCCUCCUUGUAGCCUUCCAAUAUGUAAAGGAAGCUUAUAAAGAAAAGAAAGUGGAGAGUGACUUUUAUCACAUUCAGGUAGUGAUAACACAGCAGGGAAUGGCUUUAAAGUAAGAGAGAGAUUCAGAUUAGAUAUUAAGAGGAAACUUUUCAUGCAGAGAGUGAUGAGACACUAGCAUGAGCUGCUCAGAGAAGCUGUGGAUCCUAAUCCCUGGAGGCUUUCAAGGCCAAGUAGAAUGGGAUACUGGGCAGCCUGAUCUGGUGGGUAGCAGCCUUGCCCAAGGUAGGAAGUAUGAAUUAGAUGAUCUUUAAGGUCUCUUCCAACCCAAUCCUAUGACACUAAUGAUUUUAGGUAGGAAAUCUUCACUUUUUUGUCCUCAGGGCCCUGUACGCAACAAGCAGUGUGAGCAGACAGAAAGGGAAAAAAAGUUACAAGACACAGCUAAGGAACAGAGAUUCUCCAGCAUUGCCUCUGUACUGGAUACAGUUGUCUGCAAUAAUUAUUUGGCUAAGAAUAUCUGCUGUCGGCUCAAAGGCUAUGCAGAAUGAAGAUAGUCAAGAUUUUCCCCUAGGAAAUGACAACAUUUUCUGACUCUUACUGGAAAACUCAUGCACAAACUGCAGUUUUGAACUUAAAAUACUUUAUCCUUUUUCAAAGACUGUCUGUUUCUGCAAAAAAUCACAGCAAGAAGUGACAGAGUUCUUCCUUAAAUUAGACUUUUCUAGGGAAGUUAUACUGACUUUAUUGCAUUCUAUAAUCUCUUUGCACUCACAUAAUUCUCAAGGAUCUUUUUGAUGAUUCUUACUUGUGGGAAUAAUACAAAAUAAUUAGUGCCCAAUAUCAAGAUAUAGCCAAGAGUGUUUCUAAUAACUUAUGUUCUUUAUCUUUUACUUGUUUGCCUCAUCAUUGAAAUCCAUAUGUGCACAAUUGCUAUGAUCUCAUAAUUUCAAAUGUAAAUCCCCACUGUGAGCAUUCUGCAUCAUUAUGCUCCUUUACCCAAGUUUCAAGGGAAACAAUGUGUUUUAACCUUACAGGUCAGCCACACUGAAGAUUUGUACUAGCAUAAUGUUAGAUAAGCUAUCCUUGUAGGAGUACAUUCAGUGUAUUGAAAAUUUACAGAGCAAAUUGGUCACUGAACAUCUCUUACAGUUUGGCAGAGGUCUGAGUUUUUAAAGGUCAUGAAGGUUAACAUUUCUAGUGACCUUUAUAAACACAGUUCUAUAGAUAAAACAUUUUGCUGUGCUGCCAAACAUGUAAAAACCACUACAGCUCUAACUCAUAUUCCUUUAAUGUUGAAAGUUUCCUCUUAAUUACCAUAAAACAAUGUGUAUGAUAGUUUUAAAAACUCCUUUAAUCAUUUUUAAUAAAACCAAACUGGUAUUGUGGUCCA
rnacentral:lncRNA from 1 species